CGGUAGUUCCGGUGCCCCAGGCAGCAGCUGUGCUGCUGCACCCUUGUGCACAGGGGGGCUGCUCCCCCUGCAGCUGGGAGCUGCAUUCCAGCCUCAGUUCCCUCGGGAUCCUCUGAGCUCUCGGGCCCUUCAGCAGUGGCUCAGGCACACACACGUUUUGUUCAACCAGCACUGCUUUGGGGCUCCAGUUUGGGCAGAUGGGUGGAGCAACAGCACUUGAAAUUUCCACAAAGUGCAACUCCAUUAGCUUCAGCUGACCCUGUGACAUCAUUAAGAUUAUAGAAAGGAGUGUUGGUUGGGCUAGUGAAAAGUGCUGCUUCUAGUAAGAAAAUAUAGCCCUCCUUGCAAGCAUCAGUAAGCAGAGACACUCUGCUCUCAUCCCCAACAACUCCUGCUAUUUUCAAGAGACAAAUGCAGGAAAGCACUUCAGAGCUGCAGAGCAUGGCCAUAAGGCUUUUAUCAGGAUUCUUGGAGGUCUGCUGUUUAAUGAAAUACCAGUAAGAGUGGAAGCAGUUUCCUCUUGGAAGCAACUGUUUGCAUUUCCAACUGGUUUUUGUCUUUGCUGCUGGACAGAUCUUCAGGCAGUGUUAAUGAGGUUGAGGAUUUGCACAGUUCCACUUGUCUGAAGUACAGCUGUGCCAGCUCACACAGGACACCUUCUGCUAAUUCAGCGUUGCUGGUGUAAGUGCUGGGUUUGUGAGAACUCUAAACACGAGCAGAAUGCAAGAUGCAAGCCCCGAGGAAGAGCCCAGGGCUGGCUGCUAAGGCAGGGCCUGUAGCUGGACACGUGAAUUAAAAUCCUCCCUCCCAUUCUCUGCCUUUGUCACUGAACAUCAGCAGUGCUGAGCACUUGCACAGCAGGUGAUCCCGAAAACUCGGCUUGUUUAUAAAAGCACUUUCACAAACCUU